rnacentral:rRNA from 1 species
CGCCAGACUCCUACGGGAGGCAGCAGUGGGGAAUAUUGCACAAUGGGGGAAACCCUGAUGCAGCGACGCCGCGUGAGUGAAGAAGUAUUUCGGUAUGUAAAGCUCUAUCAGCAGGGAAGAAGUUGACGGUACCUGAGUAAGAAGCCCCGGCUAACUACGUGCCAGCAGCCGCGGUAAUACGUAGGGGGCAAGCGUUAUCCGGAUUUACUGGGUGUAAAGGGAGCGUAGACGGCAGUGCAAGUCUGAAGUGAAAGCCCCGGGCUUAACCCGGGAACUGCUUUGGAAACUGUGCAGCUGGAGUGCAGGAGAGGUAAGCGGAAUUCCUAGUGUAGCGGUGAAAUGCGUAGAUAUUAGGAGGAACACCAGUGGCGAAGGCGGCUUACUGGACUGUAACUGACGUUGAGGCUCGAAAGCGUGGGGAGCAAACAGGAUUAGAUACCCCAGUA